GCGGUUUUAGCUCAGUGGUUCUUAGACACAUAGAGCGUCUGCUUUACACGCAGAAGGUCAAGAGUUCAAUCCUCUUAAGCCGUA
rnacentral:tRNA from 1 species